rnacentral:rRNA from 1 species
UGGGGAAUUUUGCGCAAUGGGCGAAAGCCUGACGCAGCAACGCCGCGUGGGUGAUGAAGGUCUUCGGAUCGUAAAACCCUGUCGUCAGGGACGAAGGUUGUGUUCCUAAUACGGAUGCAGCUUGACGGUACCUGGAGAGGAAGCCCCGGCUAACUCUGUGCCAGCAGCCGCGGUAAUACAGAGGGGGCAAGCGUUAUUCGGAAUUAUUGGGCGUAAAGGGCGCGUAGGCGGUGGUUUAAGUGAGAGGUGUAAUCCCCGGGCUUAACCUGGGAACUGCAUCUCAGACUGGAUCGCUAGAGUGCUGGAGAGGGUGGUGGAAUUCCACGUGUAGCGGUGAAAUGCGUAGAGAUGUGGAGGAACACCAGUGGCGAAGGCGGCCACCUGGACAGUAACUGACGCUGAGGCGCGAAAGUGUGGGGAGCAAACA